rnacentral:tRNA from 1 species
GGGAGUAUCAGUAGAUUACUGACUCUUAAUCAGUAGGUCCUCGGUUCGAUCCCGAGACGGCCCACCA